GGGCUGUUGGUUAGCAUGCAUGUCUAGUACAGCCGAUUAGGUGAACCGCGAAUGGCUCAUUAAAUCAGCUAUGAUUCAUUGGAUCUGUAGCCCACACUUACUUGGAUAACUGUGGUAAUUCUAGAGCUAAUACAUGCACCACGUCUCUGACCGCAAGGGAAGAGCGCUUUUAUUAGUUCAAAACCGGUCGGGCCUCGGUCCGCCAACCACACCGUGUUGAAUCUGAAUAACUUGUGGCUGAGCGCACGGCCUCCAGUGCCGGCGCCGCCUCUUUCAAGUGUCUGCCUUAUCAGCUUUCGAUUGUAGGCUAUGCGCCUACAAUGGCUAAAACGGGGAACGGGGAAUCAUUUUUUUAAGCGGGAAAGAAGCAUGAGAGGGGGAAAAGGAGGAGGGGGGGGACAGGGGGACCAAAAUUGGCGAACAGA
rnacentral:rRNA from 1 species